rnacentral:rRNA from 1 species
CGCUAUUCCCUAAGAUUAACCCAUGCAUGUUUUUGACAUUUGAAAAAUGGACUGCUCAGUAAUACUCACUUUAUUUUAUGUAAAUUUUUAAUUAACUACGUUAAAGUGUAGAUAAGAUGUUUACAGUAAGAGUGAGACCUAUCAGCUAGUUGUUAAGGUAAUGGCUUAACAAGGCUGUGACGGGUAACGGUAUUACUUUGUAAUAUUCCGGAGAAGGAGCCUGAGAGACGGCUACUAAGUCUAAGGAUUGCAGCAGGGGCGAAACUUGACCUAUGGAUUUUAUCUGAGGCAGUUAUGGGAAGUAAUAUUAUAUUGUUUCAUAUUUUAAAAGUAUAUGAGGUGAUUAAUUGGAGGGCAAAUCAAGUGCC